rnacentral:rRNA from 1 species
AUUGAACGCUGGCGGCAUGCCUUACACAUGCAAGUCGAACGGUAACGGGCCUUCGGUGCCGACGAGUGGCGAACGGGUGAGUAAUGCAUCGGAACGUACCUUUCAGUGGGGGAUAACGUAGCGAAAGUUACGCUAAUACCGCAUAUUCUGUGAGCAGGAAAGCAGGGGAUCGCAAGACCUUGCGCUGAUUGAGCGGCCGAUGUCAGAUUAGCUAGUUGGUGAGGUAAAGGCUCACCAAGGCGACGAUCUGUAGCGGGUCUGAGAGGAUGAUCCGCCACACUGGAACUGAGACACGGUCCAGACUCCUACGGGAGGCAGCAGUGGGGAAUUUUGGACAAUGGGGGCAACCCUGAUCCAGCCAUGCCGCGUGAGUGAAGAAGGCCUCGGUUGUAAG